GCACGUAGUUAGCCGGUGCUCAUUCUUACGGUACCGUCAUUAGCCCUCUUUAUUAGAAAAGGCCGUUUCGUUCCGUACAAAAGCAGUUUACAACCCGAAGGCCUUCAUCCUGCACGCGGCAUGGCUGGAUCAGGCUUGCGCCCAUUGUCCAAAAUUCCCCA
rnacentral:rRNA from 1 species